rnacentral:rRNA from 1 species
UGGGGAAUUUUGCACAAUGGGCGCAAGCCUGAUGCAGCGACGCCGCGUGAGGGAUGAAGGCCUUCGGGUUGUAAACCUUUUUCGCUCAUGGUCAAGCCGCAGCUUUGGGUUGUGGUGAGGGUAGUGGGUAAAGAAGCGCCGGCUAACUACGUGCCAGCAGCCGCGGUAAUACGUAGGGCGCGAGCGUUGUCCGGAAUUAUUGGGCGUAAAGGGCUUGUAGGCGGUUGGCCGCGUCUGCCGUGAAAUCCUCUGGCUUAACUGGGGGCGUGCGGUGGGUACGGGUUGACUUGAGUGCGGUAGGGGAGACUGGAAUUCCUGGUGUAGCGGUGGAAUGCGUAGAUAUCAGGAGGAACACCGGUGGCGAAGGCGGGUCUCUGGGCCGUUACUGACGCUGAGGAGCGAAAGCGUGGGGAGCGAACAGG